GACGAACGCUGGCGGCGUGCCUAAUACAUGCAAGUUGAGCGAUGAAGAUUGGUGCUUGCACCAAUUUGAAGAGCAGCGAACGGGUGAGUAACGCGUGGGGAAUCUGCCUUUGAGCGGGGGACAACAUUUGGAAACGAAUGCUAAUACCGCAUAACAACUUUAAACAUAAGUUUUAAGUUUGAAAGAUGCAAUUGCAUCACUCAAAGAUGAUCCCGCGUUGUAUUAGCUAGUUGGUGAGGUAAAGGCUCACCAAGGCGAUGAUACAUAGCCGACCUGAGAGGGUGAUCGGCCACAUUGGGACUGAGACACGGCCCAAACUCCUACGGGAGGCAGCAGUAGGGAAUCUUCGGCAAUAGACGAAAGUCUGACCGAGCAACGCCGCGGGAGUGAAGAAGGUUUUCGGAUCGGAAAACUCUGUUGGUAGAGAAGAACGUUGGUGAGAGUGGAAAGCUCAUCAAGUGACGGUAACUACACAGAAAGGGACGGCUAACUACGUG
rnacentral:rRNA from 1 species